rnacentral:rRNA from 1 species
CCUACGGGGUGCUGCAGUGGGGAAUAUUGGACAAUGGGCGAAAGCCUGAUCCAGCCAUGCCGCGUGUGUGAAGAAGGCCUUCGGGUUGUAAAGCACUUUCAGUGGGGAAGAAAGCCUUGGGGCUAAUACCCUCGAGGAAGGACAUCACCCACAGAAGAAGCACCGGCUAACUCCGGCCAGCAGCCGCGGUAAUACGGAGGGUGCGAGCGUUAAUCGGAAUUACUGGGCGUAAAGCGCGCGUAGGCGGUCUGAUAAGCCGGUUGUGAAAGCCCCGGGCUCAACCUGGGAACGGCAUCCGGAACUGUCAGGCUAGAGUGCAGGAGAGGAAGGUAGAAUUCCCGGUGUAGCGGUGAAAUGCGUAGAGAUCGGGAGGAAUACCAGUGGCGAAGGCGGCCUUCUGGACUGACACUGACGCUGAGGUGCGAAAGCGUGGGUAGCAAACAGGAUUAGAUACCCCUGUAGUC